GGUAAUUGUUGAACCAUUAUUUUGAUUUGUUUGACUAAAUCUAUAUCUUGUUGAUUAAAAUAUCUUUGUCCUGUUUGUGAAGUUUUGUUAUACAAAGGUCCACUUAUUUUGCCAAUAUCUUUCAAAUAGGGCCUUGCAUAAAAUUAAGUAUGCCUAAAAAUGAUCUAAGUGUUUUGAUGUCUUCCAUUUUAUCAGGGAAGUCUAAGAUUUUGCUGGUGAUAUAAGCUUGAAGUGUUAUCUUAUCUUAACCUAUAAGAUGACCUAAAAAGUCAAUAUAAGGAACUGCCAAUUUUAUUUUUCUUAUGGAAACAAUUAACCCAUGUUGUUCGAAGAGGUUAAAAAUCAUGUGUAAAUGUGCAUAAUGUUCUUUUAUUUUAGAGAAUACCAUAACAUCAUCAAUGUAUACACAUGUAAAGUCCGUCAUAGAUCUAAAUAUGUCAUCCAUCUGAGGGGCUACUUUUAACCCAAACGGCAUAACUAGGCAUUCAAAAUGGCCUUCAAGGAAAGAAAACGUUGUCCAGGGAAUGGAUUCUGGAUGCAUUUUAACUUGCCAAAAACCUGAUUUCAUAUCAAAUUUCGAAUACCAUUUAGAUUUUUGAAUUUUAUUGAGUAAUUGAUCUGUAUCUGGUAUUUUAUACCUAUCUUCAUGACAAUUAUCAUUAAGUCUUUUAUAGUUGAAAAUCAUCCUAGACUGUCCUCUUUUCUACUCAGCUCCUUUAUUGACUAUAAAAGCAAGACUUCUAUGUCGUGAAUCAGAUCAUUGUAUGGAUUUUAAUACUAGGAAUUGAGUAAUAUGCAUCUUGCAUUCUUCUAUAUCCCAAUUGGAGUAUUUUAAGUCUUGUGCUUUGAGGAUUAAGUCAGGAUUGAUAAUAUUGAGUUUACAAUAUACUUUAUUUUUUUCCCAGUAUUUGAGGGGAUUUUCACCAAGAAUUUCUAUUUUUUCUAGUCUAGAAAUGACAGCAUCUAAUGUGUCUUUCUUACUAAGUAGUGUAUUUAAAAAGGAGGGCUUGAAACCAUCUUGAUAGUAAGUUUCUGGUUCACAUGUGACCUCCAAGUCAGGUAUAUUUUCGCAACUACUUUCAGCUUCGGGGCUCCAAGAGCCAAGUCUAUCUAGUUUUCCUGUAAGGAAAGCGUAACUUUAGGUUUCUUAAUUUUUUCUUUAGGUUGGCUAGGGUUACAAGGAUAGGAUAAGGUAGAGGAAGUAGGAUUGCAACUUUCAGCAGGAGAACAAGCAGCAACACAAGGUGAGAAGUAAUGUUAAGAUAACAGAAGAAGACAUCAUUCGAGCUGCACAGAUCAUUCUCCCAAUGACCAACGCUGCCUUUGCAAAGAUUCAAGAGAUCCUCUGUGGAGAUCCAUUGAGGACUCUGCAAAUUGCACCUAUUCUCCUAUCUGGGACCAUGUAUGGCCACUUGAUAACCCUAAGGAGGUUCUUUGCAACUUGUUUUUUUGUGAGUUCUACUUUGCCAUAACUCUAUUCUUGCUACUCACAUCAGAUUCAUUGCAAAGUUGAGAGCAGCUUAUAUUGCAUUCAAGAAGCAUGGAAAUCUUGACCGCGCAAAAAACUAAUAGCAGUCUCCACAGCCACAUUAUUUUGGAAUUUGUUCAGUGUCAGGUCGCGUAUCUUUGCAAGUACAAGAACAGACUUAUGAUGUUCAUAUGUUAUUUCUCAAGCAUUUUUUUCAGUGGUAAUACUUAGGUAUAACCAUCAACACCUAGAAGAUAGCGGGAAGGUAGAAAGUAAAGACGAGAUUCAUCAAGCUGAUUUACCUUUAGAACAAGAACAAGUUCAACUAUGAAGCCCAUGUAUAUUUAGUGUUGAGCUAAUCCUUGACUUUUAGACCAAACAUUCUGAUGUUAUCAUUUUGUUCAAGUGCGUGCUCUUGAAAUCUGUAUUUCUGUGUUGUAAUAUGAACUACAAAUGCAACUCUUUAUUUUUAAAAAAAGUUAGUCAGCUCUUAAGCACCAUCCAAAUGAUGAUAAGAGAGAGAUUAUUGGAUAAAUUGGGCAGGACAACAAUUCUGCUGCUCAUACUGAUAAAUUCAGGUGUGUAAGAUGACUUUCAUUGAAUGUUCUUUUUUAUAUGUAUUACAAGGGUCUUUAAUGGUCAUUAC